rnacentral:snRNA from 1 species
AUGCCUUAAACUAAUGAGUAAGGAAAACAACGAUUCGGGGUGACGCCCGAGUCCUCACCCCAUGUGUGAGAGAAAUUUUUGACCGGGUACAGGUCGUCCUUAUGGUGACUCGCUUACUCUGCGGGAUGCCUGGGUGUUUCGAUCUGCCCG